GAAUCUCGAAUUAACGUAACUGAGCCGUUGUAAGGCCUUAGCGAACGGACGAGAAGCUUGCUUCUCUGAUGUUAGCGGCGGACGGGUGAGUAACACGUGGAUAACCUACCUAUAAGACUGGGAUAACUUCGGGAAACCGGAGCUAAUACCGGAUAAUAUUUUGAACCGCAUGGUUCAAAAGUGAAAGACGGUCUUGCUGUCACUUAUAGAUGGAUCCGCGCUGCAUUAGCUAGUUGGUAAGGUAACGGCUUACCAAGGCAACGAUGCAUAGCCGACCUGAGAGGGUGAUCGGCCACACUGGAACUGAGACACGGUCCAGACUCCUACGGGAGGCAGCAGUAGGGAAUCUUCCGCAAUGGGCGAAAGCCUGACGGAGCAACGCCGCGUGAGUGAUGAAGGUCUUCGGAUCGUAAAACUCUGUUAUUAGGGAAGAACAUAUGUGUAAGUAACUGUGCACAUCUUGACGGUACCUAAUCAGAAAGCCACGGCUAACUACGUGCCAGCAGCCGCGGUAAUACGUAGGUGGCAAGCGUUAUCCGGAAUUAUUGGGCGUAAAGCGCGCGUAGGCGGUUUUUUAAGUCUGAUGUGAAAGCCCACGGCUCAACCGUGGAGGGUCAUUGGAAACUGGAAAACUUGAGUGCAGAAGAGGAAAGUGGAAUUCCAUGUGUAGCGGUGAAAUGCGCAGAGAUAUGGAGGAACACCAGUGGCGAAGGCGACUUUCUGGUCUGUAACUGACGCUGAUGUGCGAAAGCGUGGGGAUCAAACAGGAUUAGAUACCCUGGUAGUCCACGCCGUAAACGAUGAGUGCUAAGUGUUAGGGGGUUUCCGCCCCUUAGUGCUGCAGCUAACGCAUUAAGCACUCCGCCUGGGGAGUACGACCGCAAGGUUGAAACUCAAAGGAAUUGACGGGGACCCGCACAAGCGGUGGAGCAUGUGGUUUAAUUCGAAGCAACGCGAAGAACCUUACCAAAUCUUGACAUCCUUUGACAACUCUAGAGAUAGAGCCUUCCCCUUCGGGGGACAAAGUGACAGGUGGUGCAUGGUUGUCGUCAGCUCGUGUCGUGAGAUGUUGGGUUAAGUCCCGCAACGAGCGCAACCCUUAAGCUUAGUUGCCAUCAUUAAGUUGGGCACUCUAAGUUGACUGCCGGUGACAAACCGGAGGAAGGUGGGGAUGACGUCAAAUCAUCAUGCCCCUUAUGAUUUGGGCUACACACGUGCUACAAUGGACAAUACAAAGGGUAGCGAAACCGCGAGGUCAAGCAAAUCCCAUAAAGUUGUUCUCAGUUCGGAUUGUAGUCUGCAACUCGACUACAUGAAGCUGGAAUCGCUAGUAAUCGUAGAUCAGCAUGCUACGGUGAAUACGUUCCCGGGUCUUGUACACACCGCCCGUCACACCACGAGAGUUUGUAACACCCGAAGCCGGUGGAGUAACCUUUUAGGAGCUAGCCGUCGAAGGUGGGACAAAUG
rnacentral:rRNA from 1 species